rnacentral:rRNA from 1 species
GAUAAACGCUGGCGGCGUGCAUGAGACAUGCAAGUCGAACGAAGGAUCGGGCUUGCUCGAUCCUUAGUGGCGGACGGCUGAGUAACGCGUAGGUGACCUACCCCGAAGUGGGGAAUAACUGCCCGAAAGGGUGGCUAAUACCGCAUGUGGUCGCACGUUCAUUCGUGCGAGUAAAGCCGCAAGGCGCUUCGGGAGGGGCCUGCGUCCGAUUAGCUCGUUGGUGGGGUAAUGGCUUACCAAGGCGACGAUCGGUAGGUGGUCUGAGAGGACGAUCACCCAGACUGGGACUGAAACACGGCCCAGACUCCUACGGGAGGCAGCAGUCGGGAAUUUUGCUCAAUGGGGGAAACCCUGAAGCAGCAACGCCGCGUGAGGGAUGAAGGCCUUCGGGUUGUAAACCUCUUUUGUCAGGGACGAUGAUGACGGUACCUGGCGAAUAAGCCACGGCUAACUACGUG